GUCCACACUGUAAACGAUGACGACUAGGUGUGGGGGGGUUCAGUCCCCUCCGUGCCGCAGCUAACGCAUUAAGUCGUCCGCCUGGGGAGUACGGCCGCAAGGUUGAAACUCAAAGGAAUUGACGGGGGCCCGCACAAGCGGUGGAGCAUGUGGUUCAAUUCGAUGCAGAGCGAAGAACCUUACCUGGGCUUGACAUGCAGGAAGUAGAAACCGGAAACGGCGACGACCUGUUAAGUCAGGAACCUGCACAGGUGGUGCAUGGCUGUCGU
rnacentral:rRNA from 1 species